rnacentral:tRNA from 1 species
GCUCCUAUAGCUCAGUUGGUAGAGCGCGUGACUAGUAAUCACGAGGUCUGCGGUUCAAAUCCGCAUGGGAGCA